rnacentral:lncRNA from 1 species
UCCCAUUCCCACAUUUUCCCAUCCCUUUCCCCUCUCCAUUCCCAAAUCUCUCCCGGUUCCAUUUGGGAUUCCUCCGGAGGAUUUUUUUUCCCUCCUGACCCCGGAGCAUCUGUUAGGAAAAUUCAUUCCCUUUUUUUUUUCCCAAUAUUCCGUUGGCAGCGGGAAGUGUGAACGGCGCUCGGAUGCGCCGCCUGCUAUUUCGGGAUAUUUACGGUCACCUCUCGCUUCCCGAGGGAAAAGCGUGCCGGGAGUUUAUUCCCGGGAAAAAACAGCUUGUCUGCGCCAUGUGCUUCCCGGGACAGUGAAAUGAACAAAUCCCGGGAAACGGCGCCGCUCCCAAAAGCCGGAAUGGCUUCUUCCCCUCCCCCACCCCCCUUUCCCCUGCCAGACGGAAUUCCCGGAGGUUUUCCGUCGGGAAUGGAGGGGGGGGAGGGAAGGGAGGUUGUGGGAGCGGGAGAGGGUGGGAUUGGGGUCGGAGAUUCCGGGAAUGGAUCAGGAUCGGAAAUCCCAGGAAUGGAUUGGGAUUGGGAUCGGAGACUCCAGGAAUGGAUUGGGAUUGGGGUCGGAGAUUCCGGGAAUGGAUUUGGAUCAGAGAUUCCGGGAAUGGAUUGGGAUCGGAGAUUCCAGGAAUGGAUUGGGAUUGGGAUCAGAAAUCCCGGAAAUGGAUCAGGAUCAGAGAUUCCAGGAAUGGAUCNCCCAAAAAAAAAAAAAUUAAAUAAAUAAAAAAAAUCCGGGAUUUCCCUUCCCGCAGCUCGGAAUUAAUUCCCUAAUUAAAAACCAAUCCUCAUUUGCAUAUCUGAUUAUCGAUCUGGGCCUCAUUUGCAUACGGAGAUGCCGAUCGAUCCCUUCGGGGAUUUUUUGGGCUUUUCCCGGAGAGAAAGCUGCGUUAAUUAGCGCUAAUUAACAACUAAUAGGGAAUUUUAAGGGAUUAAUAUCGGGAGAGGGAGAACGGAUUUAUGGGAAAAUCCUCGGGAAUUUGGCAGCGGGAAAAUAAAAAGGCGGGAACGGAACUAAUUCCCGGAUUU